UACGUAGGGUGCAAGCGUUUGUCCGGAAUUAUUGGGCGUAAAGAGCUCGUAGGCGGCUCGUCGCGUCGGCUGUGAAAACCUGGGGCUCAACCCCGGGCCUGCAGCCGAUACGGGCGAGCUAGAAUUCGGUAGGGAGGACUGGAAUUCCUGGAUGUGAGCGGUGGAAAUACGUAGAGAUCGGAAAGAACACCAACGGCGAAAGCACUCUGCUGGGCCAACACUGACACUGAGAGACGAAAGCUAGGGGAGCGAAUGGG
rnacentral:rRNA from 1 species